rnacentral:rRNA from 1 species
UACGGGGGGGGCAAGCGUUGUUCGGAAUUACUGGGCGUAAAGGGUUCGUAGGUGGCCUGCUAAGUCAGACGUGAAAUCCCUCGGCUCAACCGGGGAACUGCGUCUGAGACUGGCGGGCUCGAGGACAGGAGAGGAACGCGGAAUUCCAGGUGUAGCGGUGAAAUGCGUAGAUAUCUGGAGGAAUACCGGUGGCGAAGGCGGCAUCCUGGACCGACAUUGACGCUGAGGAGCGAAAGCUAGGGGAGCAAACGGG